CCUAACACAUGCAAGUCGAACGGUAACAGGAAGAAGCUUGCUUCUUUGCUGACGAGUGGCGGACGGGUGAGUAAUGUCUGGGAGACUGCCUGAUGGAGGGGGAUAACUACUGGAAACGGUAGCUAAUACCGCAUAACGUCGCAAAACCAAAGAGGGGGACCUUCGGGCCUCUUGCCAUCGGAUGUGCCCAGAUGGGAUUAGCUUGUUGGUGGGGUAACGGCUCACCAAGGCGACGAUCCCUAGCUGGUCUGAGAGGAUGACCAGCCACACUGGAACUGAGACACGGUCCAGACUCCUACGGGAGGCAGCAGUGGGGAAUAUUGCACAAUGGGCGCAAGCCUGAUGCAGCCAUGCCGCGUGUAUGAAGAAGGCCUUCGGGUUGUAAA
rnacentral:rRNA from 1 species